UUCGAAUCCUGCACGACCCACCAAUUUAACAUCAAACUCAGAUGUUGAACGUGAAGGAUAACGUUGCGUCAGCAACGGCCCGUAGGGCAAGGCGAAGCCGAGUCAUCCUGCACGACCCACCA
rnacentral:sRNA from 2 species